rnacentral:rRNA from 1 species
AUGGGCAAGGAGGACGACGUCUCCCGCGCCGUCGUGGAGGACGACACGGCGCUCCUCCUCGCGGCGGUGGACAGCAUCAAGAAGGCGGCGCUGGGCCGGCUGCGCAACGGCUCCGACGCCGCCAGGAUCCUCGACCAGGAGAUGUCCAACAGGCUCCUCCACCUCGCCUGCAGGCACGACGCCGCCGAGUGCGCCAGGCUCCUCCUCGACGGUGAGUACGGGAUCACGCCGGCCUCCGUCGACGCCAGGGACCAGCUCACGCGUACACCGCUCCACGUCGCCGCCGACGCGCACUCCAAGAGGUGCAUUCAGCUGCUCCUCUCCAGAAACGCCCGGACGGACGUCAGGCUGCUCGACGGCACACGCCUCGUCGCGCUCGAGGUCGCGCUCAUGAGCAGAAGGGUUCAAGUUGAUUGGUCACCGGACAACUCGGUCGAGGAUCUUCUGGCUUAUCUGCAACAAAAGGAUCUGAACGCGGUGAGGCUUCUGGCAGAGAAGACCAGGGAGGUUGGGAAGGUGGCUUAUAGAUACGCCAUGGAGGGGCGUGUCGCUGCACUCGCAAUGCUGCUCCUGGUGGCUGAGGAAAGGAUAUCGGCGAUGAUGAGCGUGGUGAUUGAUGGCGUCAGGACAAAGAGAUCAAUUUACAACUCUGUUGUGGAUGAGGUUCUGUCGAUUGGAGAGGCUUCAGCUAGAGACGGCAAUGAAAUGAGGACGAAAGCCUUGCUCUGUGAGAUUCAGCUGCUUAACCAAUUUGGGGCCACGUCGUGGAGGGACCGAAAAGUUGACAGGAGAAGCUUGCCCCCUCUACUUAGGGCUGCAAAGGCCGGAGAUAUGAAUGUCAAAAAGAUGCUUCUGAUGCGGGAUGUUGAUGUCAAUGAAACUGACCCCGAAGGAAACACGGCACUUCACUGGUGCCUCAGUAGUAGCUCAAGCACACAGGAGCCAAGGAUUGAGUGGCUCCUGCUGAAGAAUGGUGCCAGAGUUUUCCAGGGGAACAAACUAGGUCUCACACCAGUGCACAGUACUGCAGCUAAGGACAAUUACAAGGCUCUUCAGGUAGCCUUGUUACUUCCUUUUCAAGUGCUUAAUGAUACCACUGUGGCUAAUUGGCAUUAUUGUGUUUCUUUGAUCUGCAUGUCACUUCUGCUUCAUGCACAAGAUUGCGUUGAUAUACCUUCCAAGACCAAAGAAACCCCAUUAUUCCUUGCAGCGAAAAAUGGUUCUUUGAGUUGUGUACGACUUCUUUUGCGUUAUGGGGCUAACCCCAAAGCUCAGAACCUACGAAAGCAAAGACCAAUAGAUGUGGCGACAUCCCAGGACAUGCGGUUCCUUCUCAACUCCGCAAAUGUUGUACCAAUGAACCAUGGCUCAAUGGAAAAGAACCAUGCAAUGAAAAAAGAAAGGCACAAAGAGCUUCUGGAUGAUGAUUUCGAUGAUUAUGACAACGACGAUUAUUAUGAAAGCUAUGUUGUGCCAAAGGCGUCAGUAGGUCACGGGGAUUUUCGUUCCAGCAAUUUAUCUACCCAAGGGGCUAAAAGUAAGAGCCACAGUGCCCCGGAAGAUGGUCCCAAAUUAUCUCAGCAUAAUGACCAUUGGGAGAAGCAUGACUACACUCGCAAAAUCUUUGUUGGGGGUCUCCUGCUUACGUAG